rnacentral:misc_RNA from 1 species
GAUGAAGAACGCAGCAAAAUGCGAUAAGUAAUGUGAAUUGCAGAAUUCAGUGAAUCAUCGAAUCUUUGAACGCACAUUGCGCCCGCCAGUAUUCUGGCGGGCAUGCCUGUUCGAGCGUCAUUUCAACCCUCAAGCACAGCUUGGUGUUGGGACUCGCGUUAAUUCGCGUUCCUCAAAUUGAUUGGCGGUCACGUCGAGCUUCCAUAGCGUAGUAGUAAAACCCUCGUUACUGGUAAUCGUCGCGGCCACGCCGUUAAACCCCAACUUCUGAAUGUUGACCUCGGAUCAGGUAGGAAUACCCGCUGAACUUAAGCAUAUCAUAAGCGGAGGA